rnacentral:rRNA from 1 species
GAUGAACGCUGGCGGCAUGCUUUACACAUGCAAGUCGAACGGUAACAGGUUAAGCUGACGAGUGGCGAACGGGUGAGUAAUGCAUCGGAACGUGCCCGGUCGUGGGGGAUAACGCAGCGAAAGCUGCGCUAAUACCGCAUACGAUCUGAGGAUGAAAGCGGGGGACCGUAAGGCCUCGCGCGAUCGGAGCGGCCGAUGUCAGAUUAGGUAGUUGGUGAGGUAAAGGCUCACCAAGCCAACGAUCUGUAGCUGGUCUGAGAGGACGACCAGCCCAACUGGGACUGAGACACGGCCCAGACUCCUACGGGAGGCAGCAGUGGGGAAUUUUGGACAAUGGGCGAAAGCCUGAUCCAGCCAUUCCGCGUGCAGGACGAAGGCCUUCGGGUUGUAAACUGCUUUUGUACGGAACGAAAAGCUCUGGGUUAAUACCUCGGGGUCAUGACGGUACCGUAAGAAUAAGCACCGGCUAACUACGUGCCAGCCGCCGCCGUAA